rfam:Hordeum vulgare subsp. vulgare, WGS project CAJW01000000 data, contig: morex_contig_148159
CAUGUACUCCCUCCGUCCGAAAAUACUUGUCCUAGAAAUGGAUGAAUCAAGACUUAUUUUAGUUAUAGAUACAUUCACUAUAUCAAUUUUUAGGACAAGUAUUUCUGGAUGGAGGGAGUAGUUG